CCUACAGGGGGCUGCAGUGGGGAAUAUUGGACAAUGGGGGCAACCCUGAUCCAGCCAUGCCGCGUGUGUGAAGAAGGCCCUCGGGUUGUAAAGCACUUUCAGUGAGGAAGAACGCCUGGUGGUUAAUACCCAUCAGGAAAGACAUCACUCACAGAAGAAGCACCGGCUAACUCCGUGCCAGCAGCCGCGGUAAUACGGAGGGUGCGAGCGUUAAUCGGAAUUACUGGGCGUAAAGCGCGCGUAGGUGGCUUGAUAAGCCGGUUGUGAAAGCCCCGGGCUCAACCUGGGAACGGCAUCCGGAACUGUCAAGCUAGAGUGCAGGAGAGGAAGGUAGAAUUCCCGGUGUAGCGGUGAGAUGCGUAGAGAUCGGGAGGAAUACCAGUGGCGAAGGCGGCCUUCUGGACUGACACUGACACUGAGGUGCGAAAGCGUGGGUAGCAAACAGGAUUAGAUACCCGUGUAGUC
rnacentral:rRNA from 1 species